AUGACUGAGAACGAGCUACCCAACGCAUAUCCCUCUGUGAAUCUGCAUUUUGUGUGUACCACAGCAGCCAUGGGAAGAAAAAAGCAGAAUAAAACCUGUUGUGGGGAUGAGGACUGUACUGACAUUAAUUCACGUGCUAAAGCCAUAAAGCCACCGCUGGAGUGCAGCAAGUGCAGAGCGAGGACUUUGCCCAUCUGGGUUAUCCCUGUCCGCUCCUGUGUCCCCUGUGUCCAUGCCAGCAGGAGCCCUGGGGAUAGGAGCAGGUGGUGGUGGCACCACACAGGCCCAUGGCAUGUCCUGGGAGGGCAGCGGGGGCUGCGCUGUGUGUGCUCCAGUGCCCAGCCCUCCGGAAGAGAAGGAAACCGGCAGAGACAGGCAGCUGAGGGACAGGCAGGAGACAGGAACAAGGUCAGCACAAACGCAGGAACCCCGGUCUCGGCCACAGACAAAGGUAACUCGGCACACGGCUCUCAACUCCCGAGCAAGCUGGGGUUUUGCUGGGAGAGCUCCCAGCGGGAAGUGAGCAGAGGCUCCAGGUCUGGCACCGUGAGGGCCAUCAAGGCCGAGCAUUGUCCAGCCUUGCAGAGGGCAAGCCCAAGCCCCAGGAUUUGGGCAGGGAGCCUGAGACAAGCCUCGGAAACUGGCGACGCUGACAUCGGCACGUCUGGCGUGUCCCACGGUGAUUUGGGUGGUUGUCAUGGGGCAAAGCAGGCAAAAAUAGGCUGUCCUUGAAUUGGGCAAAUGUUCUUCUCAUCUGUACGGCUGCUGCUAAAAACAGGCGACUUCUGGAGUGGAAAGGGUGAGAUUUCCAGUAAAGCUGUGUCCUCCCUGCUCCCCACACAGACUGACAUCAUGGGGCCAGCAUGGGGUGCCAGAGCUCAGCCAAGACUUACCCCCCUUCCUGGCCAGGACGAAGCCCACCAUUUAUCACAGUUCAUCAGCAGAUUACCGGCAGGCUGAGGCUUUUGGGACAGCGAUAGCGGCCAGUCUGCUUGGCCCACAACCAUGCAACAUUAGCAUUGGAUUCACCUCGGGUCCAGUGCUGUUUCACAGAGGGGUGGGAAAUAGAGAUAAUCAAAGAAACUCAACAGUCGCUCCAUUUUUCACAGAUUUGUCUUAAAUGGAAAAAAAUCCUACCAUAAGGCAGCAUAUGGGCUUUAUAGUUCUCCUGCUUUGAAAAGCCUAGAAGAAUGUACAGAAAACUGUCAAUACUGGGGUUUCACUGAAAACACAGCUUGCAAUUAUUAGAAACUUUUCAUGAACACUGUUUACUUCCAUUGGAAAACUCUGGCUUUCAGUCAAAAGUGAAUAAAUAACCAAAAUGGGAUGGAAAGUUUCCCCUC
rnacentral:lncRNA from 1 species